GACAUAGGUGGCAAACGUUAUCCGGAAUUAUUGGGCGUAAAGGGUGCGUAGAUGGUACGAUAAGUUAUCAGUGGCAAAUCGGGGCUCAACCCCGUGGAAGUUGGUAAUACUGUCAUACUAGAGUACAGAAGAGGUUAACGGAACUCCAUGUGGAGCGGUAAAAUGCGUAGAUAUAUGGAUGAACAUCAAUAACGGCGAAGGCAGUUAACUAUUCUGUUACUGACAUUGAGGCACGAAAGCGUGGGGAGCAAAAAGG
rnacentral:rRNA from 1 species